AUUGAACGCUGGCGGCAGGCCUAACACAUGCAAGUCGAGCGGAUGAAGGGAGCUUGCUCCUGGAUUCAGCGGCGGACGGGUGAGUAAUGCCUAGGAAUCUGCCUGGUAGUGGGGGAUAACGUCCGGAAACGGGCGCUAAUACCGCAUACGUCCUGUGGGAGAAAGUGGGGGAUCUUCGGACCUCACGCUAUCAGAUGAGCCUAGGUCGGAUUAGCUAGUUGGUGGGGUAAAGGCCUACCAAGGCGACGAUCCGUAACUGGUCUGAGAGGAUGAUCAGUCACACUGGAACUGAGACACGGUCCAGACUCCUACGGGAGGCAGCAGUGGGGAAUAUUGGACAAUGGGCGAAAGCCUGAUCCAGCCAUGCCGCGUGUGUGAAGAAGGUCUUCGGAUUGUAAAGCACUUUAAGUUGGGAGGAAGGGCAGUAAGUUAAUACCUUGCUGUUUUAACGUUACCAACAGAAUAAGCACCGGCUAACUUCGU
rnacentral:rRNA from 1 species